UGCCAGCAGCCGCGGUAAUACGGAGGAUGCAAGCGUUAUCCGGACUGAUUGGGUGUAAAGCAUCUGUAGGCGGUUUUGGAAGUCUACGGUUAAAUCCCAGAGCUUAACUUUGGUUCAGCCGUAGAGUACUUCAAAGCUUGAGUAUGGUAGGGGUAGAGGGAACUUCUCGUGGAGCGGUGAAAUGCACAGAGAUGAGAAGGAACACCAGUGGCGAAAGCGCUCUACUGGGCCAUGACUGACGCUGAGAGAUGACAGCUGAGGGAGCGAAUAGGAUUAGAUACCCUAGUAGUCUCAGCCGUAAACGAUGAAUACUAGAUGUUGCCACAAGCAGUGUCGAAGCUAACGCGUUAAGUAUCCCACCUGGGGAGUACGUACGCAAGUAUGAAACUCAAAGGAAUUGACGGGAAUUGACACAAGUGGUGGAUUA
rnacentral:rRNA from 1 species